GACGAACGCUGGCGGCAUGCCUAAUACAUGCAAGUCGAGCGAACAGAUGAAGUGCUUGCACUUCUGACGUUAGCGGCGGACGGGUGAGUAACACGUAAGGAAUCUACCUAUAAGCGGGGGAUAACAUUCGGAAACGGGUGCUAAUACCGCAUAAUAUCUUCUUCCGCAUGGAAGAAGAUUGAAAGACGGCUCUGCUGUCACUUAUAGAUGACCUUGCGGUGCAUUAGUUAGUUGGUGGGGUAACGGCCUACCAAGACGAUGAUGCAUAGCCGACCUGAGAGGGUGAUCGGCCACAUUGGGACUGAGACACGGCCCAAACUCCUACGGGAGGCAGCAGUAGGGAAUCUUCCGCAAUGGGCGAAAGCCUGACGGAGCAAUGCCGCGUGAGUGAAGAAGGCCUUCGGGUCGUAAAACUCUGUUAUAAGAGAAGAACAAAUUGUAGAGUAACUGCUACAGUCUUGACGGUAUCUUAUCAGAAAGCCACGGCUAACUACGUG
rnacentral:rRNA from 1 species